rnacentral:SRP_RNA from 1 species
GUGAGUCUCCACAAUGGCGACAGAUUGUAAACCCGGUCAGGUCCGGAAGGAAGCAGCCGUAGCAGUUGCGUCGGGUGUUGUGACAAGGUUCCCGCC